GGGAGCCAUCUGGAAGCCUGCAGGUGGCGGACACCCUGAGAGGGGUGUCCGUGGGGGAACCAGGACAGGGGAUGGGGGGGACUGAGACCCGGGUGCAUAGGGCACGGCCCUCACCUCGAAGGUGCCUGUGUACUGGCUUUUGUUAGCAGUCAUCUGGGGACUCCUGGAGGGCAAGACACCUGGAGACUGCUGGGGACACCCCUAUUCUCAGGGGAGCAGUGACCCGAGUGGCUGGGCCUCGUGGAAAGACUUCCCUAGUGGCAGCUCUUGUCACCUAAGCAAGCCAUGACCUGGUCUCUAGGGUCACUCAGAACUGUGGCACAUGAGUUAGUAGGGGGGUCUGUCUGGGGUACAGAGGUGACGUGGGUCUCAUCUUGGGUCAGGACGGAGCCUGCUCUCGGCUCGCUCGGGUGCUGCCCAGUACCUGCUGGAGGCGCUGAAAGUGCAUCCUGGUCUGAGGCGGGAGUCUGAUAGAGCAGGUCCCCCCGAUUCACAGCCCCGAGGGUACUGGCCAGCCUAACAGGACAGCCAGGAGUCAGAAGACGGCAAACGGGACCAGGCCAAGGCCAAGGCCACGUCCUAGAAGACGAGGGGAAGAUGCCGCCUAUGACACCUGAACAAAGCUAAGCAUGACAGCAAGAGCGUGGCCAGGCUUCCAGGAGUUCAAGGCCACCCCAGGAAACACAAGGCCUCGUCUCUAAAAACCGACAAAGAAAAAGAAGUUGUAGAAGAAUAAAAUUUAUUGUCUCCGCUG